UACAGAGGGUGCGAGCGUUGUUCGGAUUUACUGGGCGUAAAGGGCGCGUAGGCGGUCAGCACAAGUCAGUUGUGAAAUCUCCGGGCUUAACUCGGAAAGGUCAACUGAUACUGUGCGACUAGAGUGCAGAAGGGGCAACUGGAAUUCUCGGUGUAGCGGUGAAAUGCGUAGAUAUCGAGAGGAACACCUGCGGCGAAGGCGGGUUGCUGGGCUGACACUGACGCUGAUGCGCGAAAGCCAGGGGAGCGAACGGG
rnacentral:rRNA from 1 species